rnacentral:miRNA from 1 species
AACGUUAACACCGAUAUUGCCC